ensembl:lncRNA
CACGGUCUGGGCAACAUGCUGUUCUAUAAAUGCUUUGAUGACGAGUCAUCACUUGUAGGAUUUUCACUCUUCCACCGCUUUCAUCGCUCACCCUCCUCCCCCCUCUCCCCCCCCCCGUUUUUUUUUUUUAAGUUUGUAGUGUAGUCAGUUUAUACUCUGUAUUUCUCACUUUGUUUUAGCAGGUACUGAGUGAUGCUGUAUAUACCUGUAUGUAUUUGUUUGAGACCAGCACAUGGCAUGCGUUUAUGGUUCCUGUCUGUUACUAUUAAAAGUAUACAAAUUCCAGAGGACAACAAGGUGUGUUUUUAAUUAUUUUUCUUUUAUAGUCUAAAGACUUUGGACACAUUUGGAGCCUCUCUCUCCCACACGGGACGGCUGGCAGGUGUUUGGUGCCUCUUCUUUCUUUCUUUUCCAGUUUAAAAUAAGUGUUCACAUACUUAUGAGAUGAAUAAAAUAACUGCUUCACUACAUUUCACUUUCGUUGUAUUCAGUAACUUGGAAGAGUGCUGGUUAUUGUUUCUUUUUGUUUGUUUUUAAGCUGUAAUACAGCUACGGUGUGGUCACUAGGGAAGAAAAAGAGAGAAAAGAAUAUGUUGGGUAUCGCUAACCAGUCCUUUUUACAAAUGUCUACAUGCACUGUCGAUGCCAUGUGAGGAGUCAGGGCCACGCGAACCGCCACCGUCAAAUAUUCAUGCAUCUGAAAACCUAUUAUGCAUUUCAGUGGCCUUUUUUAAGGAUGUUUUUGUUUUAUUUUUAUUUCUUCCCCUGUCAUCUUGUAAAAUAGGUGUGUGGCUUAAUACAUGCAAGCUGUGCUGUGACUACCAACCACUGAAGAGUUCAUUAAAAAUAAACUUGUACAUUGUAAAGUUCCCCCGCCUGAUUAUUUAAAGGUUUUUACAAAUACGUCUCAACGGUAAGUUCACUCUUGUAUUUUGAGGGAUUUAUCUCCCGGAUUAAAUCUUUUUUUUUUUUUUUUUUUGUCCUAUUUUUGAAGCUACCGUUGUGUUUGUCAGUACCUCUAUUUUAUGUUUAUAUAAUAUAUAUAUUUUAAAGAUUC